rnacentral:rRNA from 1 species
GUAGGUCACAAGCGUUGUCCGGAAUUACUGGGUGUAAAGGGAGCGCAGGCGGGAAGACAAGUUGGAAGUGAAAUCUAUGGGCUCAACCCAUAAACUGCUUUCAAAACUGUUUUUCUUGAGUAGUGCAGAGGUAGGCGGAAUUCCCGGUGUAGCGGUGGAAUGCGUAGAUAUCGGGAGGAACACCAGUGGCGAAGGCGGCCUACUGGGCACCAACUGACGCUGAGGCUCGAAAGUGUGGGUAGCAAACAGGAUUAGAUACCCUGGUAGUCCACACCGUAAACGAUGAUUACUAGGUGUUGGAGGAUUGACCCCUUCAGUGCCGCAGUUAACACAAUAAGUAAUCCACCUGGGGAGUACGACCGCAAAAAA